CGGGGAGGCGUAUGACGGCAGUACGCAUGCUUUGGGAGCAUGUAGAUCGGGUUCAAUUCCCGGCUCCCCGACCA
rnacentral:tRNA from 1 species